CGAAAGCCUGACGGAGCAACGCCGCGUGAGGGAUGAAGGCCUCUGGGCUGUAAACCUCUUUUCUCAAGGAAGAAGAUCUGACGGUACUUGAGGAAUAAGCCACGGCUAAUUCCGUGCCAGCAGCCGCGGUAAUACGGGAGUGGCAAGCGUUAUCCGGAAUUAUUGGGCGUAAAGCGUCCGCAGGCGGCCGUAUAAGUCUGUCGUUAAAGCGUGGAGCUUAACUCCAUUUGAGCGAUGGAAACUGUAAGGCUUGAGUGUGGUAGGGGCAGAGGGAAUUCCCGGUGUAGCGGUGAAAUGCGUAGAUAUCGGGAAGAACACCAGUGGCGAAGGCGCUCUGCUGGGCCAUAACUGACGCUCAUGGACGAAAGCCAGGGGAGCG
rnacentral:rRNA from 1 species